rnacentral:rRNA from 1 species
AAUCAACGCUGGCGGCGUGCCUCAGACAUGCAAGUCGAACGAUUAAAGCUCUCUUCGGAGAGUGCAUAGAGUGGCGCACGGGUGAGUAACACGUAAGUAAUCUACCUUCGAGUGGGGAAGUAACGUCCGGAACGGACGCUAAUACCGCAUAAUGCAGCGGCAUCGCAAGAUGACAGUUGUUAAAGGAGCAAUUCGCUUGAAGAGGAGCUUGCGGCAGAUUAGCUAGUUGGUAAGGUAAUGGCUUACCAAGGCUACGAUCUGUAACCGGUCUAAGAGGACGGUCGGUCACACUGACACUGAAU